CAGGAGAGGAGAAGACCACUCCAGGGGAGAAGGAGAGGAGAAGACCACUCCAGGAGUGAAGGAGAGGACCACCCCCGGUUUGAACCCAACAACGCAUCCCCAGACAUCAUAACGUAGAAAUAUCCUGUCCAAUCAGCUGUCUCAGAAUAAAAGAGUUGUAUAAUAAAACAGACGCUGUUAAAUGAAAACAUUUUAAAACCAGGAGUUUAACACACCCACCGCCAACCACAGGUUUCAGAACAACUAACCGCAGGGCGAAGGAGUGGCCUGUGAUGCGUUUCCUGUCCUAUCUGUGUUGUGAUUGGUUGAUCAGGGUGAGAGGAGUUCUGAUUGGUGGAUCAGGUGUGACGUGUGCGUUUUAAAUCAACCCCAAUAGGGACCAGCAACAGAAUUCUGAUCUGUAGUCUGAAACAUUGGGAUUAGAAACCUACAGACUACAGAACCAGUCUGCUGUUUAAAGACUUUCAGCUGAGCAUCAGGUCAUGAGGAUAGUGUUGAUCUGGAUAUGUCUACUGGGCAUGAGUCUAGCCUUUCCAGUCCACAAGAGACGGGUGACAAGAUCAGACAACGAUGAAGGAGAGGGGGUAAGUGGCACGCACGCAC